rnacentral:rRNA from 1 species
AUUGAACGCUGGCGGCAUGCCUUACACAUGCAAGUCGAACGGCAGCGGGGGAGAAGCUUGCUUUUCCCUGCCGGCGAGUGGCGAACGGGUGAGUAAUACAUCGGAACGUGCCCUGUAGUGGGGGAUAACUAGUCGAAAGAUUAGCUAAUACCGCAUACGACCUGAGGGUGAAAGUGGGGGACCGCAAGGCCUCCUGCUAUAGGAGCGGCCGAUGUCUGAUUAGCUAGUUGGUGGGGUAAAGGCAUACCAAGGCGACGAUCAGUAGCUGGUCUGAGAGGACGAUCAGCCACACUAGGACUGAGACACGGCCCAGACUCCUACGGGAGGCAGCAGUGGGGAAUUUUGGACAAUGGGCGAAAGCCUGAUCCAGCAAUGCCGCGUGUGUGAAGAAGGCCUUCGGGUUGUAAAGCACUUUUGUCCGGAAAGAAAUGGCUCUGGUUAAUACCUGGGGUCGAUGACGGUACCGGAAGAAUAAGGACCGGCUAACUACGUGCCAGCAGCCGCGGUAA